rnacentral:rRNA from 1 species
UACGGAGGGAGCUAGCGUUGUUCGGAAUUACUGGGCGUAAAGCGCGCGUAGGCGGCUUUGUAAGUUAGAGGUGAAAGCCCGGGGCUCAACUCCGGAACUGCCUUUAAGACUGCAUCGCUUGAAUCCGGGAGAGGUGAGUGGAAUUCCGAGUGUAGAGGUGAAAUUCGUAGAUAUUCGGAAGAACACCGGUGGCGAAGGCGGCUACCUGGACAGAGUCUGACGCUGAGGCGCGAAAGCUAGGGGAGCAAACAGG